AUCCUUUUUGAUCUGCGAAAUAAGAUUCAUUUAUGUUCCCCCAAACUGAUAAGUAGGUUUCCCAGGUGGGUGGCUCAGCGGUAAAGAAUCCGCCUGCCAAUGCAGAAGAAGCAGGUUUGAUCCCGGGGUUGAGAAGCUCCCCUGGAGAAGGAAAUGACAACCCACUUCAGUAUUCUUGCCUGGAGAAUCUCAUAGACAGAGGAGCCUGGCGGGGUCCACGGGGUCACGAAAAGAGCUGGACACAACUGAGCGACUAAACAACAAACUGAUAGGCAGGUGAAGGAAAUCUUUCCUUCUGACUGCACACAGCGGUUUUUCUCAGCACUAUCAUUCGGGGACGCUGAAACAUUACUUCUGGUGCCUGGGAGAAAAGCAAGGCUGUGAACACUUUAGAGUCAGCGCGGGAGGUCUUGUCGAUCCUAGCCUACCAACCAAUCAGCAGGGAUAGAUUCGACUCCGACUGCGAGCUCUUGGAUGCUAGAAGUUACCAAGGAUACGUAGGCUCUGCCCUGAAGGGAUGUGGAACCCAUUUGAAUCUGAAUCUAUGAAAUUGGAAGUUGAGUUGAAAAAAGCUUGGGAAGAGAAUUAGAAGAUCUGAGUCUGUGUCUACCUUUAGCCAAGUAACUUCCUUUCAUUGCGCCUCAGUUUCCUUAUCGGUGAAAUAAGAAUAAUGCCUGCUUUACCUAUCUCACACUGAUGUGGAGAGAAUAAGAUGAUUAGCAUGUGUGAGCAUGCUUAGGAAUGUGAAAAGCCUUAACAAAUUUAGGACGUAUUAUUUUAAAUGGAGUUUAAACACAUUCUGGCUUCAGGGGCAC
rnacentral:lncRNA from 1 species